UAUUACGCUGGUUGCCAGCCGCCGUUAAACCCAAGAAGAAGAAGACCUUAGGUCCCGCCCACUGGUAUUCAGUCACAUAAUGACUGACACCUAUCUACACUAGAUGCGAGCGUUGCGUCUCGUCAAAAGCAAAUAAAGCAGUUAUAAUCACUAACGCUGUCUACACUGGAUACAGUAUACAGAUGCCUGUUUAGUUUCUGACAUAGGCUACUCCAACGUUCGCUUUGACGAUUCGACUUAAAAAGGACACCCGCGUCAGGAACAAGUGCAUAAUUUAUUUUUAAUGGCGUCCCGGAUCGCAUCAGACUUGGAGGAUUAUAUGUUUGUUUGGAGCAUUUGACAGCUGAUUGUUUUGUAAACGAGGCAGAGUGUAGGCUAAUGCGUGUUUCGCAAAGAAACCUUGUUGAAAGAUGAAGCAGCCAACUGACAGCAGCCAUGUCGCAAACCGUGACGGUGGAUGCAAUGUGACUCCUGAUUAGUUGCUCUGGCAACCUCCGGGAACGUUCACUGGUGGCCAUGGCAACGGCUGAAGCAUGGCGAUGGAACCAGGCUGAUUAUUUCGAUUUAGAACGGGAAUGAGAAUUCGGAGGUGGCUUGGCAUACCACAACGUCAUCAACGGAGAUGUUGCUUGUCAAUAAUACUGAAGCUUGACUGUACGUCUUGCGCUGACCAGCCGACAGCUGCACUGGCCCCAUCUGUCCAAGUCUGUCUAACACACACACACAAACACACACACACACAUUUACACAAACUGAUUAGCAACGUUUUCAAUUUCUUUCUCUGUAUAAACAAAGACACUCUACAAAACACUGAAAAGCAUUUGCUUUCUUCUUCCUGUGCCACUAUCACUUAUCAUUUUACACACACACAUACAUAACAUACUGUACAUACACUGAGUGUGCAUGUGUUUUAAUGUCUAACAAAAGGCCAGUGUGUUUGAGAUCUUGGGAAUCAUGCACAGCCGGAAAAUAAUGUUUCACGCUGGCUUUGGAACAAGCAGCAAAAUGACAGAAGCUACUACUGUAUGAAUAUGUUUAUGUGUUCUAUUCUAUAUACAAGAGCAGAGUUCAAAAUU